UACAGAGGGGGCGAGCGUUGUUCGGAAUUACUGGGCGUAAAGGGCGCGUAGGCGGCCUUCUAAGUCGAACGUGAAAUCCCCGGGCUCAACCCGGGAACUGCGUCCGAUACUGGAAGGCUUGAAUCCGGGAGAGGGAUGCGGAAUUCCAGGUGUAGCGGUGAAAUGCGUAGAUAUCUGGAGGAACACCGGUGGCGAAGGCGGCAUCCUGAACCGGCAUUGACGCUGAGGCGCGAAAGCCAGGGGAGCAAACGGG
rnacentral:rRNA from 1 species